ensembl:misc_RNA Y_RNA Y RNA
GAAGGUAGUGAGUUACCUCAACCGAUUGUUCGCAGUCAGUUACAGAUCAAACCCCUUGUUCAGCUCUUUCCACCCUUCUCACUACUGCACUC